GAGCCACAGCAGAGGGCUGAAAGAGCCACAUGUGGCUCCAGAGCCGCGAGUUGCUGACACCUGUGCCAUUCCUUCUCUUACAUCUGCUUUUCACCAAUGGCAGCAGUGAAGUUACCCUGUCUGGAUCUAAAUGGAUUGUGAAGACUGCACUUUCCUAGAAGGAAAAGAAGCUGCUAUUAGAAUCCAGGCAAGAUACGAGUGUCAGCAAGGAGUCAAAUAAAUCAAGAUGGCAGCUACAAUCCUGUAAUCAAAGCCCUGCCCUUUUUACCUACACUGUGAUAUGCAUACUUAAUGGCAGCCCCGUGGUUUCUGGCAAGUGGAUCUCCGAAGCUGUAUUGCAGGCAGCUCUGCUGGUGG